GGGGGGGGGGGGGGGGGGGGCGGGGGGAGGCGGGGGGAACGGCAGCACAGUAGGAGCUUGCUCUUACGGGUGGCGAGUGGCGGACGGGUGAGGAAUACAUCGGAAUCUACUUUUUCGUGGGGGCUAACGUAGGGAAACUUACGCUACUACCGCAUACGACCUACGGGUGAAAGCCGGGGAUCUUCGGACCUUGCGCGAUUGAAUGAGCCGCUGUCGGAUUAGCUAGUUGGCGGGGUAAAGGCCCACCAAGGCGACGAUCCGUAGCUGGUCUGAGAGGAUGAUCAGCCACACUGGAACUGAGACACGGUCCAGACUCCUACGGGAGGCAGCAGUGGGGAAUAUUGGACAAUGGGCGCAAGCCUGAUCCAGCCAUACCGCGUGGGUGAAGAAGGCCUUCGGGUUGUAAAGCCCUUUUGUUGGGAAAGAAAAGCAGCAGGUUAAUACCCCGCUGUUCUGACGGUACCCAAAGAAUAAGCACCGGCUAACUUCGUG
rnacentral:rRNA from 1 species